rnacentral:rRNA from 1 species
UACGGGGGGGGCAAGCGUUGUUCGGAAUUACUGGGCGUAAAGGGCUCGUAGGCGGCCAACUAAGUCAGACGUGAAAUCCCUAGGCUUAACCGGGGAACUGCGUCUGAUACUGGAUGGCUUGAGUUCGGGAGAGGGAUGCGGAAUUCCAGGUGUAGCGGUGAAAUGCGUAGAUAUCAGGAGGAACACCAAUAGCGAAGGCAGCUCGCUGGGACGUUACUGACACUGAGGCGCGAAAGCGUGGGGAGCGAACAGG